rnacentral:rRNA from 1 species
GACGAACGCUGGCGGCGCGCCUAAUACAUGCAAGUUGAGCGCUGAAGGUUGGUACUUGUACCAACUGGAUGAGCAGCGAACGGGUGAGUAACGCGUGGGGAAUCUGCCUUUGAGCGGGGGACAACAUUUGGAAACGAAUGCUAAUACCGCAUAAAAACUUUAAACACAAGUUUUAAGUUUGAAAGAUGCAAUUGCAUCACUCAAAGAUGAUCCCGCGUUGUAUUAGCUAGUUGGUGAGGUAAAGGCUCACCAAGGCGAUGAUACAUAGCCGACCUGAGAGGGUGAUCGGCCACUUUGGGACUGAGACACGGCCCAAACUCCUACGGGAGGCAGCAGUAGGGAAUCUUCGGCAAUGGACGAAAGUCUGACCGAGCAACGCCGCGUGAGUGAAGAAGGUUUUCGGAUCGUAAAACUCUGUUGGUAGAGAAGAGCGUUGGUGAGAGUGGAAAGCUCAUCAAGUGACGGUAACUACCCAGAAAGGGACGGCUAACUACGUG